rnacentral:rRNA from 1 species
GAUGAACGCUGGCGGCGUGCCUAAUACAUGCAAGUCGAGCGAACAGACGAGGAGCUUGCUUCUCUGACGUUAGCGGCGGACGGGUGAGUAACACGUGGAUAACCUACCUAUAAGACUGGGAUAACUUCGGGAAACCGGAGCUAAUACCGGAUAAUAUAUUGAACCGCAUGGUUCAAUAGUGAAAGACGGUUUUGCUGUCACUUAUAGAUGGAUCCGCGCCGCAUUAGCUAGUUGGUAAGGUAACGGCUUACCAAGGCAACGAUGCGUAGCCGACCUGAGAGGGUGAUCGGCCACACUGGAACUGAGACACGGUCCAGACUCCUACGGGAGGCAGCAGUAGGGAAUCUUCCGCAAUAGGCGAAAGCCUGACGGAGCAACGCCGCGUGAGUGAUGAAGGUCUUCGGAUCGUAAAACUCUGUUAUUAGGGAAGAACAAAUGUGUAAGUAACUAUGCACGUCUUGACGGUACCUAAUCAGAAAGCCACGGCUAACUACGUGC